rnacentral:rRNA from 1 species
GACGAACGCUGGCGGCGUGCUUAACACAUGCAAGUCGAACGGAAAGGCCCCUUUGGGGUUCCUGGGUGGCGAACGGGUGAGGAAACAGGUGGUUAACCGGCCUUGACUUUGGGAUUAACUCAAGGAACCGGGGCCAAUUCCGGAUAGGAAAUCUUUCCUCAUGGUGGGGGGUGGGAAACUUUCGGCGGUUUUGGAUGACCUCGCGGCUUAUCAGCUUGUUGGUGGGGUAGUGGCUUACCAAGGCUUUGACGGGUAGCCGGCCUGAGAGGGCGACCGGCCACAUUGGGACUGAGAUACGGCCCAGACUCCUACGGGAGGCAGCAGUGGGGAAUAUUGCACAAUGGGCGGAAGCCUGAUGCAGCAACGCCGCGUGCGGGAUGACGGCCUUCGGGUUGUAAACCGCUUUCAGCAGGGGCGAAGCUUUUGUGACGGUACCUGCAGAAGAAGCACCGGCUAACUACGU